rnacentral:ncRNA from 1 species
GGUACCUGACGCACCGGCGGGACCCAUUGCUUAGGAUGAGCGGGUAAUCGGCGGGCGAAGGAAUCUGGUGAGAAUCCAGAACGGUCGCGCCACUGUGUCAAGUCAGACCCGACGUCCGUCGCCGUUU